rnacentral:rRNA from 1 species
CUUAAAGGGAGCCCGUAGCUGGUUUGGUAAAUCGCCUGUGAAAUCUCUGGGCUCAACUAAGAGACGUGCAGGUGACACUACUAAGCUUGGAGUCGGGGAGGUGCUAGAAGUAUUCUAAGGGGAGCGGUAAAAAUGCUAUAAUCCUUGGAGGACUGCCGGUGGCGAAAGGCGUCUAGCAAGAACGAGCUCGACAGUGAGGGACGAAAGCUGGGGGAGCAAAAGGGAUUAGAUACCCCUGUAGUCUCAGCCACAAACGUUGCAGAUUAGGUGUUGCACGACCUUAGGGGUCGUGCAGUGUCGAAGCGAAGGCGUUAAAUCUGCCGCCUGGGGAGUACGGUCGCAAGGCUGAAACUUAAAGAAAUAGGCGGGGGAGCACCACAAGGGGUGCGGCGUGCGGUUUAAUUGGAAUCAACGCCAGGAACCUUACCAGGACCGACAGUUGUAUGAAGACCAGUCUAAAGGGCUUGUCUGACUCUCUGAGAGGUAGUGCAUGGCCGUCGUCAGCUCGUGCCGUGAGGUGGCCAGUUAACUCUGGCAACGAGCGAGACCCUCAUCCACAUUUGCUACUUGUUUGAUGCAAGGCACUAUGUGGAGACUGCCCGAGAAAUUGGGAGGAAGGUGAGGGCAACGAUAGGUCUGUAUGCUCCGAAUGCCCUGGGCUACAUGCGCGCAACAAUGGUUAAGACAAUGGGUCGCAACCCUGAAAAGGGAAGCUAAUCCUCUAAACUUAAUCCAAGUCCAGAUCGAGGGCUGGAACUCGCCCUCGUGACGCCGGAAUCCCUAGUAAUCGGGUGUUAGCAUCGCUCGGUGAAUGUGUCCCUGCUCCUUGUACCCACCGCCCGU